GGCUUCUGAGGGUAGAAAUUCGGAUGCUACCACUCGUAGAUGGAGGAAUGUCCGACCUCCCAGAGCCU
rnacentral:ncRNA from 1 species